rnacentral:sRNA from 1 species
UUUUAAAUAUUAUUGAUAAAAAUUGAAUUUAUAUCUUAUACCCGCCUAUAUAGGCAGACAUUUUAUAAUAAUCUU